AAGGAAUUCCCGGACUUCGCAGCCCCCCAUGGUUCUCCCCGGCUCUCUUCUCCUCUCUCUUAAAGAGUAGUGGCGGCAGCGCAGGCAGGGACUUCGGCUAUCACAGUCGAGUGAGACUGAAAACCCCACUUCAAAACCCGUCGGAAUGUUUCGAAAAAAUAUUGAUGGCAACGGAGAAAGUGAACAGAGGAGAGAAAGUAGCGGUGUUGUAAAGGAUAGACGGUAUUUCCCAGGUGGGCAGAAGGCACAGGAGGGAAAUGGCUCAGUGACAAGGCGCUGAAGGAGCGGAGGGUCCGCGUUUGACGCUUGCCGAGUUCCCGGAGGGAAACAGCGCUUCCAUUCCACGCGUUUCCGCGCGGCGGGGGUUCACGCCGCACACCACAGCGGAAGGCGGCUCACUGAACGCCUGACAGUAAACUGGGAGGAAAGACGGGGGAGCAGGAAAUGCCCCACAUCUAAAAUUCUGCUUCGUGGAGAGAAAUGUGAAAUGCAAGUGAUUUCCAGAGUGGGAGCAGGGUUUCCGAUUGGUGACUGUACUCUCAUCCUCAUGAGGAAUUCAUACACUGCUGCUUGUCUUUGAAGGUGUCCACGCCAACUUAAUGGAUGCAAAUCAUUUCUAUAAAGAUACCCUGUGUGGGGUUUAUGUAUCGGCUCUUAAAAGAGUAAAAUCUGAUUUUGAUUCUCAUUUUGCCACUGUUACUGAUAUUGACGGACCACAUGGACAUUCGCAAACUCAUUUUAGAGUUUAUAAAAAGUUGUAAAAUAAAAACACUACAUUAUGACGGUUAUGAUAUAAAUCAUUGCGUCUAAAUAAUGUUCUUAGAAUUGUUUGAUUCAUUAUACCGAUAAUUCUAUUCAAAAUCUCUAUCUUUUUAUAUAUUGUCAAAAUAUAUUUCCAUGACCUUUUUAUAAUUAAAUUUUCAUUUUUAAGUUUUGGCUUACAGUAAAUCUAUAAACAUCAUUGAUGAUUCACUAAAAGAAAAAUCGUUCAAGAAGAUACUCCUUAUAAAUUGAAGGAAUGUAUAAUAUCUUAAAAUAUAAACCAUGUGAAUCUAUUUCCAUACUUUUACUUUUGAAAUUAGACUUGCCAGGGAAAAAAUUUUAAUGGAACAUCACCAAAAGCAAGUGAUUUCAAUAUAAUUCCCAACAUCGGAUAUUUUAAAAUCAAAGUUUAAAAUCGAAUUCUGAUAUUUUGCUUGAGUGUUACAUUUUAGAGAAUAUCUUAUAAAAUACCAAGAAGCUUCACUUAAAAAAUUAGACUAGAAGGCAAUAAUUGUAGUGGAAGGAAGGGGAAAAGGCAGGGGGAAAAAAAAGGAGAAAGAAAUCGAGAGGGAAAAUUAGGUUUAUUUCUAGCGCUCCCACUUAGUUAGAAAUCAUGACACAGUGCCUGAAACAAACUGUUACUUCAAAGUAACAAUAAUAGACUUGAUUAACCUGAACUUCUAGUCCCCCCCUCCACUAUAGUUACAGUUCAGCUACAUUUCAUAAUUUUUGUAUGUUUAAAUGAGCCAAAGUCAAGUUUGAUAUAUAUGCGUGGUCAGAUAAUUGAUAGUCAUAUUCUGGUCUUGGCUUUUAAGAAAAAAAAUUACAAGACUUUUCUCAAUAUUAAAACCUAUCUCACGUGUUUGCAUAUGUUUGGAUGCUGUCUAUUGCAUGUCUAGAAGAUAAUGACAUCUUAAGUAAAAACUCAUCUAAAAGUGAGUUGAAAUAUAAUUAUCAUGGCCUUUGACAAUAGCAAGAUUCCAUGAGUUUGACAUGAUUAUUAAUGUUAAAACAUGAUUGUAAAAAGAAUUACCAUGACCGUUUGAUCAUUUGUUUUAUAUAUAUAUAUAUAUAUAUAUGCACACAGAUGCACAAAUGUGUAUAUGCAUGUCUUCUAAAAUGUUUGGUUCUUUUUAUAUGCUCAAUUCUCUUCACUCAGGAAAGAGUUCAGAGUAGACUACUUUGUAUGAGUAUCAAUUUCUUUUAUAAACCUAACAUUUUAUUUAAACUAUAGUCAUGGUUAUCUAUGUAAGCUAGAAGCAAUUGCACUUAGGAAUGUACUUCCGUUUUGGUUUUCUAGCAGUGUUGAAAUAUUUGCUGACAUGUGACAGUUUCAAAAUUAUAAGCUACUCAAUGAACCAGAUGCAAUAUUCAUGUAGAUUUAUCUGCACUUGUCUGUUUGAAUCAUACCCAUACUCAGAAAAGCAUUCAUGUCUCAUUUUUCAGAACUACAUUGUUCAAAAUUCUUUUGUAUUCUCUCAGACUAUUGUUCUUCAUGAUAUAUGUGGUCUGAAUUCAGGUAAGAUAUGAUUAAAGUUUUUAUUAAAUAAAGAAUAUAUGACAUUAAAAA